rnacentral:rRNA from 1 species
UACGGAGGGAGCUAGCGUUAUUCGGAAUUACUGGGCGUAAAGCGCACGUAGGCGGCUUUGUAAGUUAGAGGUGAAAGCCUGGAGCUCAACUCCAGAACUGCCUUUAAGACUGCGUCGCUUGAAUCCAGGAGAGGUGAGUGGAAUUCCGAGUGUAGAGGUGAAAUUCGUAGAUAUUCGGAAGAACACCAGUGGCGAAGGCGGCUCACUGGACUGGUAUUGACGCUGAGGUGCGAAAGCGUGGGGAGCAAACAGG